GAUGAACGCUGGCGGCGUGCCUAAUACAUGCAAGUCGAGCGAACAGACGAGGAGCUUGCUCCUCUGACGUUAGCGGCGGACGUGUGAGUAAAACGUGGAUAACCUACCUAUAAGACUGGGAUAACUUCGGGAAACCGGAGCUAAUACCGGAUAAUAUAUUGAACCGCAUGGUUCCAUAGUGAAAGACGGUUUUGCUUUCACUUAUAGAUGGAUCCGCGCCGCAUUAGCUAGUUGGUAAGGUAACGGCUUACCAAGGCGACGAUGAGUAGCCGACCUGAGAGAGUGAUCGGCCACACUGGAACUGAGACACGGUCCAGACUCCUACGGGAGGCAGCAGUAGGGAAUCUUCCGCAAUGGGCGAAAGCCUGACGGAGCAACGCCGCGUGAGUUAUGAAGGUCUUCGGAUCUUAAAACUCUGUUAUUAGGGAAGAACAAAUGUGUAAGUAACUAUGCACGUCUUGACGGUACCUAAUCAGAAAGCCACGGCUAACUACGUG
rnacentral:rRNA from 1 species